rnacentral:rRNA from 1 species
AUUGAACGCUGGCGGCAGGCUUAACACAUGCAAGUCGAGCGGGGGAGGUUGCUUCGGUAACUGACCUAGCGGCGGACGGGUGAGUAAUGCUUAGGAAUCUGCCUAUUAGUGGGGGACAACAUUCCGAAAGGGAUGCUAAUACCGCAUACGCCGUACGGGGGACAGCAGGGGAUCUUCGGACCUUGCGCUAAUAGAUGAGCCUAAGUCGGAUUAGCUAGUUGGUGGGGUGAAGGCCUACCAAGGAGACGAGCUGUAGCGGGUCUGAGAGGAUGAUCCGCCACACUGGGGCUGAGACACGGCCCAGACUCCUACGGGAGGCAGCAGUGGGGAAUAUUGGACAAUGGGCGGAAGCCUGAUCCAGCCAUGCCGCGUGUGUGAAGAAGGCCUUUUGGUUGUAAAGCACUUUAAGCGAGGAGGAGGCUCUUAAGGUUAAUACCCUUGAUGAGUGGACGUUACUCGCAGAAUGAGCACCGGCUAACUCUGUGCCAGCCGCCGCAGUAAUAC